CAGCCGCCGCGGUAAAACCAGCACCUCAAGUGGUCAGGAUGAUUAUUGGGCCUAAAGCAUCCGUAGCCGGCUCUGUAAGUUUUCGGUUAAAUCUGUACGCUCAACGUACAGGCUGCCGGGAAUACUGCAAAGCUAGGGAGUGGGAGGAGUAGACGGUACUCGGUAGGAAGUGGUAAAAUGCUUUGAUCUAUCGAUGACCACCUGUGGCGAAGGCGGUCUACUAGAACACGUCCGACGGUGGGGGAUGAAAGCUGGGGGAGCAAACCGGAUUAGAUACCCGGGUAGUCCCAGCUGUAAACUAUGCAAAUUCAGUGAUGCAUUGGCUUGUGGCCAAUGCAGUGCUGCAGGGAAGCCGUUAAGUUUGCCGCCUGGGAAGUACGUACGCAAGUAUGAAACUUAAAGGAAUUGGCGGGGGAGCAC
rnacentral:rRNA from 2 species